UACAGAGGUCCCAAGCGUUGUUCGGAUUCACUGGGCGUAAAGGGUGCGUAGGUGGCUUGGUAAGUUUGAUGUGAAAUCUCCGGGCUUAACCCGGAAAUGGCAUUGAAUACUAUUGAGCUGGAGGUUUGGAGGGGGGACUGGAAUUCUCGGUGUAGCAGUGAAAUGCGUAGAUAUCGAGAGGAACACCAGUGGCGAAGGCGGCAUCCUGGACCGACACUGACGCUGAGGAGCGAAAGCCAGGGGAGCAAACGGG
rnacentral:rRNA from 1 species